UGGGGUGCUCGAGUGGCGAACGGGUGAGUAACACGUGAGUAACCUGCCCUUGACUUUGGGAUAACUUCAGGAAACUGGGGCUAAUACCGGAUAGGAGCUCCUGCUGCAUGGUGGGGGUUGGAAAGUUUCGGCGGUUGGGGAUGGACUCGCGGCUUAUCAGCUUGUUGGUGGGGUAGUGGCUUACCAAGGCUUUGACGGGUAGCCGGCCUGAGAGGGUGACCGGCCACAUUGGGACUGAGACACGGCCCAA
rnacentral:rRNA from 1 species